rnacentral:lncRNA from 1 species
GCGGCGGGCGGCGGGCGCACUGAGCAUGCUCGGAGGCGCUGGCCGCCUAGUCCUUGGCUCCGGGCGCUCCACUUCGGAUUUUAGUUUUGACCAAGUGGGAUCUGUUGUUCCACAGCGGUCCCGAGGAGCUCCACGCGAAAUACUUCGGCGCCCAACCUGGGAGGCAGGUGUGCAAGCUCGGCAUAGAUACCCGCAGGGAGUUGUGCAAACUACAGAAGAGGAGAACAUGAGAGGAGAGGAGCCUGGCAGAAUGCGGGAAACCAGAUCCUCUUUGUAG